CGUCCGUAGCCGGCUUGGUAAGUCUUUCGUCAAAUCCGGCGAUUCCAUCGUCGGACCGCGGAAGAUACUUCCAGGCUUGAGGACGGGAGAGGUCGACGGUAGUCCCGGGGUAGGGGUGAAAUCCUAUAAUCCCGGGAGGACCACCAGUGGCGAAGGCGGUCGACUAGAACGUGCCUGACGGUGAUGGACGAGAGCUGGGGGAGCGAACCGGAUUAGACACCCGGGUAGUCCCAGCCGUAAACGAUGCGAGCUAGGUGUUGGAGCAACUACGGGUUGCUCCAGUGCCGCAGAGAAGUUGUUAAGCUCGCCGCCUGGGAAGUACGGCCGCAAGGCUGAAACUUAAAGGAAUUGGCGGGGGAGCACCACAAGGGGUGAAGCCUGCGGUUCAAUUGGAGUCAACGCCGGGAAACUUACCGGGGCUGACAGCAGGGUGAAGGCCAGAUUGAGGGUCUUGCCAGACAAGCUGAGAGGAGGUGCAUGGCCGUCGCCAGUUCGUGCCGUGAGGUGUCCUGUUAAGUCAGGCAACGAACGAGACCCUCACCUCUAGUUGCCAGCGGAUUCCCUUGGAAUGCCGGGCACACUAGAGGGACUGCCGUCGAUAAGGCGGAGGAAGGAGAGGGCUACGGCAGGUCAGUAUGCCCCGAAUGCCCCGGGCCACACGCGGGCUGCAAUGGUAGGGACAGAGGGCUCCGACCCCGAAAGGGGAAGGUAAUCCCUAAACCCUAUCUCAGUUGGGACUGAGGGCUGAAACCCGCCCUCAUGAACAUGGGAUCCCUAG
rnacentral:rRNA from 1 species